AAAUACAUACACACAUGCAGAUACUGACACACAUACAGAUGUACAGACACACUGAUAUGCCUGCAGAUACACAGACACACACAGACACUGCCACAUACAAAGACACUUACACACUGCCACAUAUGCAGAUACACAGACAUACAGAAACACAUUCCACACAUACAGUAUACACAAACUACACACAUACAGACACACACUACACGUUCACAGAUACACACAAACACAC